GUAGGUGAACCUGCGGAAGGAUCAUUAACAAAUUCAAACACACAUGUUUCCCUUCGUGGGAGGUGCAAACCUUCCUGAAGGUGUAUACAUAACACACACACUUUUGAUUGACAACACACCAAUUGAUACCAAUAAGGUUAAUCGUAGACAACUUUUAACAAUGGAUCUCUUGGCUCUUGCAUCGAUGAAGAACGCAGCAUCUGACUGACUACGUGGU
rnacentral:misc_RNA from 1 species